GUGCUUGCUUCAGCAGCACAUAUAAUAAAAUUGGAAUGAUACAGAGAUUAGCAUGGCCCCUGCACAAGUAUGACAUGGGAAUUCGUGAACCGUUCCAUAUUUAA